rnacentral:rRNA from 1 species
UCCAGACUCCUACGGGAGGCAGCAGUGGGGAAUAUUGCACAAUGGGGGGAACCCUGAUGCAGCGACGCCGCGUGGGUGAAGAAGUCAUUCGUGACGUAAAGCCCUAUCAGCAGGGAAGAAAAUGACGGUACCUGACUAAGAAGCCCCGGCUAACUACGUGCCAGCAGCCGCGGUAAUACGUAGGGGGCAAGCGUUAUCCGGAUUUACUGGGUGUAAAGGGAGCGUAGACGGCGGCGCAAGUCCGGAGUGAAAUCCCCGCGCUCAACGUGGGAACUGCCUUUGAAACUGGCAAACUGGAGUGUGUGAGAGGAUAGUGGAAUUCCAGGUGUAGGAGUGAAAUCCGUAGAUAUCUGGAGGAACAUCAGUGGCGAAGGCGACUAUCUGGCACAUAACUGACGCUGAGGAGCGAAAGCGUGGGUAGCAAACAGGAUUAGAUACCCUCGUAAAC